rnacentral:rRNA from 1 species
GUGGGGAAUAUUGGACAAUGGGCGCAAGCCUGAUCCAGCCAUACCGCGUGGGUGAAGAAGGCCUUCGGGUUGUAAUGCCCUUUUGUUGGGAAAGAAAUCGUAUCGGAUAAUAACCGGUGGGGAUGACGGUACCCAAAGAAUAAGCACCGGCUAACUUCGUGCCAGCAGCCGCGGUAAUACGAAGGGUGCAAGCGUUACUCGGAAUUACUGGGCGUAAAGCGUGCGUAGGUGGUGGUUUAAGUCUGCUGUGAAAGCCCUGGGCUCAACCUGGGAAUUGCAGUGGAUACUGGAUCACUAGAGUGUGGUAGAGGGAUGCGGAAUUUCUGGUGUAGCAGUGAAAUGCGUAGAGAUCAGAAGGAACAUCCGUGGCGAAGGCGGCAUCCUGGGCAAACACUGACACUGAGGCACGAAAGCGUGGGGAGCAAACAGGAUUAGAUACCCCAGUAGUCC